GUUCGGAUCGCGGCGAUGUGGGCGGUUUGCUGCUCCUGACGUCGCGAGAAGUCCACUGAACCUUAUCAUUUAGAGGAAGGAGAAGUCGUAACAAAGUUUCCGUCGAUGAACUUGCGGAAGGAUCAUU
rnacentral:rRNA from 1 species